UAAUACGGAUGGAGCAUGCGUUGUCCGGAAUCACUGGGCGUAAAGGGGGUGUAGGUGGUAUUGUAAGUUACGGGUGAAAAUCACAGGCUCAACUUGUGACCUGCCUAUAAUACUGCAGUACUAGAGGACGGGAGAGGAGAGCGGAACUACCGGUGUAGCGGUGGAAUGCACAGAUAUCGGUAGAAACACCAGAGGCGAAGGCGGCUCUCUAGAACGUUCCUGACACUGAGGCCCGAAAGCUGGGGGAGCAAACAGGAUUAGAGACCCUGGUAGUCCCAGCCCUAAACGAUGAGCACUAGGCGUGGGUCCAUUAAAGGAUCCGUGUCGCAGCUAACGCAUUAAGUGCUCCGCCUGGGGAGUACGCUCGCAAGGGUG
rnacentral:rRNA from 1 species